rnacentral:lncRNA from 1 species
AAAGAAUAAAUAUCGCAAUUACAACAGUUGCAAUUACAACCUUAUUUAUCUCAAAGUUUUUCUGCAUUCAAAUCUGGAGAAACAAUUUCAAAGAGAACAAGACCUGUAAAUCCUACAAAAACGACUAAAUCUACUAUGCAGACAACAAGUGCAGCGUUGACAUCAUUAUCGGCAAAGUUUUCAAAUAAUACUUUAUCUUUCAAUAUUUCUAUUACUACUAUUCAGCAAGACCCGAGGUUAAGGUUUCAGGGUUAUAAUCUUUUGGCAAAGUUAUCUGAAGACUCGUGUAAUUUGAUAAACAAAAUCAGUAUACUUCAUACCUUCAUUUCACUACACUUGAUACUCAAAUAAAUAAAUCACAAGAUGAUGUUAAGUUUUUUGCAUAUUGUGCAAUUAAAAGUUCACUGCUUGUAUUGGUCGAACAUCCAACAUUAAAAAGCAUUGACAAAUAAAACGCCAUGACAUUUUGGGUGAGUGCUUUGACUCAUAUGACACGCAAAACAAAUCAAAUAAAAAGCGAAAUAUGCUAAAUGCCAAUAUUUUGAACGUUAUCAAGUUAUUUAUUACAUCGAAUUGCUUAAUUAAUGCGUUUAAUUUUCCCUUUCUGAGAAAAAAAGUCCCACUUCCUUUUGCAAAAAGUUUUAGAGAAAGCUUGAUACCAGAAACGAUGGCAAAGUUAUUAAACACAGUUAACAAAAAAUUAAACGACGCGCCCUGGUUGUCACUUUGUUUAGUGAUAUAUGUACAUCUCCUGAAAUGUUAGAUUUUAUUUUGGUUAGUUCAACAUUAACGAACAGUGAUUUAAAAAAAGAAAUCAUUAUUAUUGGUAUGGAACAGAUGACGAGACGUCACAAUGCAGAAAAUAUUAAAUUCGGAGUUGAAAAGAUUAUCAAUACCUUUAAUAGAUCCAAAAUAAAUGUUAUAUUAUAUUUAAAAGCUAUUCCAUGUGAUGAAAGGAGCUCAUUAGUCAGACUGUUUAAGCGAUUUGAAAAGUCUUUAGAAGAAAGAGAUGAGGAGACGAAAGGUGGCGAUAGUGCAUAUGAAGAUGAUCAAUUGCUGAACCAAGAGGUUGCCCUUUAUAUUGAAAAAGCAGAUAAUGAGCAGCUAAAAAAUCGUUAAAAGAUGACGUUUUAGAUAUUGAAAUUCAAACCUCUGAUGGACCUCCCCAAUGAGAAAUGAGCUAGCAACUAACUAACGAAUAGCUAGCUAGUUGCUACCUAUUGGUAAAAGUCGCGUUUGAAACGUAUAAAAUAAGUAGUACUACGUGUAAAAUACGUGUUUUAGACGCUUUAAACACGUCUUUUAUCAUCUGGCUAUCUUUUUUCCACCGGAUCUUGAAGUGCUAUCACCUGAAUCAACAAAGCUUACUUUUACAAAUGUUGUUCAGUUAUCCAAAACAGCAGAGAAAGUAAACACCACUUAUGACUUUAACGAUGAUAAUGAAUACGAUCUUGAUAGUGUUGAGAUUAUUAAAGAGCUAAAAAUAGAAUUGGAAACAUCGAAACUACUGAGGUUUUCUUCCGCUGCUCAUAAAACAAAGGUUGCUGCACGUAUUGCUAUUAAGAAACACAAAUAUUUGUGUCGUUUACUUGCAACGCAUUCAAAGUACACAAGAAGCACAAAUUAAUCUAUAAAUAACGUUCAUUACCAAAUAAAAAAUAAAUCUAAAUUACAAACAAGUUUUGAUGGAAUUUUUGGUCAGUUGCUUUCCUAUUGUAACAGAAUUUUUAAAGGAAUUAUAAAAGAAAUCCAUUCGAUUUGGAAAAUAAAUGUCCAAUCAAAUCAAAACAAAUCCUUCUUCUGCAUACCAUUUAAUUGUACAAAAAAAUCUUUCAUCGAUUGCUGAUGUUUUGCCUGCAUUGACUAUUAAGAUUUCAAAAUGAAGUAGAAUGGAAUUAAAAGGAAAUAGAAAAGAGUUUGCUAACUUGUUAGCUUCUUCUUUUUAAUUAAAGUUUCAGUAAAAACUUAUUUCCGAGUAGCAUCACUAUUAAUUAUCUCAAAGCUUAAAUUAUGGUUCUUUAGAUCUGAUUGUCAAUUUAUUGUUAAAGUUAUUUUGUUAUUAAGUUAUAUUAUUUAAUUAAAAAAAAAAAAAAGUUUUAAAAUUUAGUUUAAAAAAUAAUUCUUCAAAACCUAAUUUAUAAAUUUAAUUAUUUUAAUAUUUUAAUUUACCAUAUUAAAGUUUGUAUUUUAGGAGCAGUUAAGGAGCUACACGAUAUCCAAGGGGCGCUGCGAGCAUUUUUAUGUCUUUAAGAUAGCUAACUUCCAAACAUGGAGCAAACUCCAAACAUUUAUAUGUUUAUACUAAUGUCAAAAAAGGAUGCUUUGCAAAAAAUUGCGAUGAUUGGAGCUUGGAAACAAAAAAGCCCAAAAAUUUUGUCCCCCCUGCAUCAAACGUGAGAGCAACAAGUUGAUGAAAUAUUUUUUUUACUAUUUUUAAUUAAACUUAUAUUCAUCGAUAAAUUUUAAACUGUGUAGUAGAAUAUUUUAGCGU